CGCGCAGGCGGAUUUAUAAGCCAGAUGUGAAAUCUCGGGGCUCAACCCCGAAACUGCGUCUGGAACUGUAGAUCUAGAGUUAUGGAGGGGAGAGCGGAAUUUCGCAUGUAGGGUAAAAUCCGUAGAGAUGCGAAGGAACACCAGAGCCGAAGGGGGCUCUCUGGCCAUCAACUGACGCUGAGGCGCGAAAGCGUGGGGAGCAAACA
rnacentral:rRNA from 1 species